rnacentral:rRNA from 1 species
CAGUCGCCACGGGAAUACAGAGGGUGCGAGCGUUAAUCGGAUUUACUGGGCGUAAAGCGUGUGUAGGCGGCUAAUUGAGUCGGAUGUGAAAUCCCCGAGCUUAACUUGGGAAUUGCAUUCGAUACUGGUUAGCUAGAGUGUGGGAGAGGAUGGUAGAAUUCCAGGUGUAGCGGUGAAAUGCGUAGAGAUCUGGAGGAAUACCGAUGGCGAAGGCAGCCAUCUGGCCUAACACUGACGCUGAGGUACGAAAGCAUGGGGAGCAAACAGGAUUAGAUACCCCAGUAGUCCCUGUCUCUUAUAC